CUAUCGUUUUACUUACCUGUUCCUGCUGACACCGUCUUAAUUGCUCCCUCGCUGCUUCCCUCAUCUCUGUAUUCAUCACAUGUACUUUACUCAUAUUUAUCCAGUCUUUCUCCACAAACCCCUCCUAAAUCCCUUAAAUGCAAACUCUCGUCCCCAACAUUUAAAUCUUACUCCAACCUUCUCAUCCUUUCCAUCCUACUGCUCCUAGC